GGACUUGGACUGGGAAAAAAAGGCACACCACAAGAGCGGUGUUAGAGCACCAGCGAUGGGAGUCACACGCGUGGCGUUGUGGAGCACCAGAGACGGCACGCGUGGUGUAUGGGGGCAGCAGCAGCAGCAGCAGCAGCAGCAGCAGCAGCAGCAGCAGCAGCAGCAGCAGCAGCAGCAGCAGCAGCAGCAGCAGCAGCAGCAGCAGCAGCAUCAGCAGCGGUGGUAGUGGUGCUUAAAGCAUGCCAGCCCCAGGAAUUGGACAUUGUAGAGUCUGGGAUCGGCCACAUGACUUGGACAGCAAAGUGGAACCAGUGGACAAUGGAACCAGAAAGGGGAGAGGGGAUGCGACGAACAACAGCAGAGGAGUGUGGUUGUGACCCACCCCUCUUUCAGAGAAGUGGGGUUUGGACUGCAUGCUCCUCUAAUCGUCCUGGAGCAUUUGGACUGCUGGAAGCUGGACACUAUUGGACACUUGGACAAUAAACUAUUUGAAAAUUUGUA